AUUGAACGCUGGCGGAAUGCUUUACACAUGCAAGUCGAACGGCAGCACGGACUUCGGUCUGGUGGCGAGUGGCGAACGGGUGAGUAAUACAUCGGAACGUGCCCAGUCGUGGGGGAUAACGUAGCGAAAGCUACGCUAAUACCGCAUACGAUCUAAGGAUGAAAGCGGGGGAUCGCAAGACCUCGCGCGAUUGGAGCGGCCGAUGGCAGAUUAGGUAGUUGGUGGGGUAAAGGCUCACCAAGCCGACGAUCUGUAGCUGGUCUGAGAGGACGACCAGCCACACUGGGACUGAGACACGGCCCAGACUCCUACGGGAGGCAGCAGUGGGGAAUUUUGGACAAUGGGCGCAAGCCUGAUCCAGCCAUUCCGCGUGCAGGAUGAAGGCCCUCGGGUUGUAAACUGCUUUUGUACGGAACGAAAAGGCUCUGGUUAAUACCCGGGGCUCAUGACGGGACCGUAAGAAUAAGCACCGGCUAACUACGUGCCAGCAGCCGCGGUAA
rnacentral:rRNA from 1 species